CUUUCUUUGCUGGCGACCGGCGCACGGGUGAGUAACACGUAUCCAACCUGCCCUUUACUCGGGGAUAGCCUUUCGAAAGAAAGAUUAAUACCCGAUAGCAUAAUGAUUCCGCAUGGUUUCAUUAUUAAAGGAUUCCGGUAAAGGAUGGGGAUGCGUUCCAUUAGGUUGUUGGUGAGGUAACGGCUCACCAAGCCUUCGAUGGAUAGGGGUUCUGAGAGGAAGGUCCCCCACAUCGGAACUGAGACACGGUCCAA
rnacentral:rRNA from 1 species